UUUCCGUAGGUGAACCUGCGGAAGGAUCAUUAAAGAAGUUGAUUAUGGGGUUUGUUAGCUGGCCUUCCGGGGCAUGUGCUCGCCUCACUUCAUCCAUCUUACACCUGUGCACCUUUUGUGGGUAUUUUGUAGUGGAAGGGGGGUUGGAUAACGACCUUCUGGAAGCGCAUAUACUCAUGUUUUAUACACCCUUUGUAUGUCUUUGAAUGUCUUUUUUGCGUUAAUCGCAUAUAAUACAACUUUCAACAACGGAUCUCUUGGCUCUCGCAUCGAUGAAGAACGCAGC
rnacentral:misc_RNA from 1 species